rfam:Ovis aries breed Texel chromosome 16, whole genome shotgun sequence.
UCCCUAGUGGCUCAGAUGGUAAAGAGUCUGCCUGCAAUGCAGGAGACCCAAGUUUGAUCCCUGGGUUGGGAA